rnacentral:rRNA from 1 species
GAUGAACGCUAGCUACAGGCUUAACACAUGCAAGUCGAGGGGCAGCACUAGGUAGCAAUACUGAGGUGGCGACCGGCGCACGGGUGCGUAACGCGUAUCCAACCUUCCCGUUACUCUUGGAUAGCCUUCCGAAAGGGAGAUUAAUACAAGAUGGUAUUCAAAUUCCGCAUGUUAUUUGAAUUAAAGAUUUAUCGGUAACGGAUGGGGAUGCGUGACAUUAGAUAGUAGGCGGGGUAACGGCCCACCUAGUCUACGAUGUCUAGGGGUUCUGAGAGGAAGGUCCCCCACACUGGAACUGAGACACGGUCCAGACUCCUACGGGAGGCAGCAGUGAGGAAUAUUGGUCAAUGGUCGAGAGACUGAACCAGCCAUGCCGCGUGAAGGUCACGGCCCUAUGGGGUCUUAAAACUUCUUUUGCAAGGGAGCAAUAAGUCUCACGUGUGGGAUGAUGAGAGUACCUUGCGAAUAAGCAUCGGCUAACUCCGUGCCAGCAGCCG